rnacentral:rRNA from 1 species
AUUGAACGCUGGCGGCAGGCUUAACACAUGCAAGUCGAGCGUGCGGCGGACGGGUGAGUAAUGUCUGGGAAACUGCCUGAUGGAGGGGGAUAACUACUGGAAACGGUAGAUACUAACGCAUACCAUCAGAUGUGCCCAGAUGGGAUUAGCUAGUAGGUGGGGUAAUGGCUCACCUAGGCCACGAUCCCUAGCUGUUCUGAGAGGAUGACGAGCAACACUGGAACUGAGACAAGGUCCAGACUCCUACGAGAGGCAGCAGUGGGGAAUAUUGCACAAUGGCCGCAAGCCUGAUGAUGCCAUGCCGCGUGUGUAAAGAAGGCCGUCAGGUUGUAAAGCGCUAUACCCAAGGAGGCGUUACUCGCAGAAGAAGAACCGGCUAACUCCGUGCCAGCAGCCGCGGUAAUAC